CUCGGGCUCCCCGCCCGCCUGGGUUACAGGAGGCCCCUCCGACGUGCCUCUCCGCAGAGACACACCAGGAAAAGGAGCAGAGAGGACAGGCGCCUCCGCCUCCUCUCCUCGCCGCGCUCACUCGCUAGUGCAGCACAGCAGCCACCCUGCGGGCCAGUCCAUCUCGCCCCACAGGAGGGGGGUAGGUUUCCGUGUUUACACGCAGGUGGGGAAAGUACCAUUUCCACCUGCGCUCCCCCGUGUCUGCAUCGUGGCUCUGACAGUCACGGCCCCCAGGCAGAGGCUCGCAUUGCAACCAGAGCCUUUUGCUUUUGAAGUUUCUUUCUGGGGCUGCAGACGAUGGGAAGGUGCACCGCUGAGCAGGGCAUGAGAGCUGACAGCCGCCUCCAAGCCACUCAAUGCCUCCGAGGCCACGCUAGGAGCUCCGGAUGGAAGUGCAAUGAAAGGAGUGCACCUCGCAAAAAUGGUAUUUGAUAGCCACAUUCCAGACACUUGGCCACACCUAUCACCUCAUUGUCAACUAGACCAUCCUGCAGCAAUCCCAGAUGAAACAGCGGCCAACGGCGAAAUCACAGGCUCUUCACGUAUGUGAACGGAGAGGAGCCGAAACCCCCCACCCUGACGGCACAGAACUUUCCCAGGCUCCCCUUUCUGAGGACUAGGGCGAGAUUCUGUGCAAACUGCUGCAAAUUUUAAGGAAACUAAAGUGAUUUAGGGAAGUUUUUUAUGGAGGUUAUUUGCCCAUAAAGAUCAACUAAUAAAAAGACCGUGUGUGUGUG